rnacentral:rRNA from 1 species
GACGAACGCUGGCGGCGUGCUUAACACAUGCAAGUCGAACGGUAAGGCCCUUCGGGGUACACGAGUGGCGAACGGGUGAGUAACACGUGGGUGAUCUGCCCUGCACUUCGGGAUAAGCCUGGGAAACUGGGUCUAAUACCGGAUAGGACCACUGCCUGCAUGGGUGGUGGUGGAAAGCCUUUACGGUGUGGGAUGGGCCCGCGGCCUAUCAGCUUGUUGGUGGGGUGGUGGCCUACCAAGGCGACGGCGGGUAGCCGGCCUGAGAGGGUGACCGGCCACACUGGGACUGAGAUACGGCCCAGACUCCUACGGGAGGCAGCAGUGGGGAAUAUUGCACAAUGGGCGCAAGCCUGAUGCAGCGACGCCGCGUGAGGGAUGACGGCCUUCGGGUUGUAAACCUCUUUCAGCACCGACGAAGCGCAAGUGACGGUAGGUGCAGAAGAAGGACCGGCCAACUACGUGCCAGCCGCCGCGGUAA